CUAAUACUCCCUCCGUCCGAAAAUACUUGUCCUAGAAAUGUAUUAAAUGGAUGUAUCUAUAACUAAAAUAAGUCUAGAUACAUCUAUUUCUUGAACAAGUUUUUCCGGACGGAGGGAGUAAUAU
rfam:Hordeum vulgare subsp. vulgare, WGS project CAJW01000000 data, contig: morex_contig_166848